rnacentral:rRNA from 1 species
AUGAAAGUGGGAUACGCCUGAAGCACGGUCGCCUAACCCUUCGGGGAGGGCGCCGUCGAAGGCGGAGCCCGCGAUUGGAACGAAGUCGUAACAAGGUACCC